rnacentral:rRNA from 1 species
UGGGGAAUUGUUCACAAUGGGCGCAAGCCUGAUGACGCAACGCCGCGUGGAGGAUGAAGGUCUUCGGAUUGUAAACUCCUGUUGCUCGGGACGAAAAGCCUCGACCUAAUACGUCGAGGUCUGACGGUACCGAGUGAGGAAGCCCCGGCUAACUCUGUGCCAGCAGCCGCGGUAAUACAGAGGGGGCAAGCGUUGUUCGGAAUUACUGGGCGUAAAGGGCGCGUAGGCGGCCCGCUAAGUCGAACGUGAAAUCCCCGAGCUCAACUCGGGAACUGCGUCCGAUACUGGUGGGCUUGAAUCCGGGAGAGGGAUGCGGAAUUCCAGGUGUAGCGGUGAAAUGCGUAGAUAUCUGGAGGAACACCGGUGGCGAAGGCGGCAUCCUGGACCGGCAUUGACGCUGAGGCGCGAAAGCUAGGGGAGCAAACG